rnacentral:rRNA from 1 species
UGACGUCAAAUCAUCAUGCCCUUAUGACCUGGGCUACACACGUGCUACAAUGGGCGGUACAAAGGGUCGCGAACCCGCGAGGGGGAGCCAAUCCCAAAAAGCCGCUCUCAGUUCGGAUUGCAGGCUGCAACUCGCCUGCAUGAAGCCGGAAUCGCUAGUAAUCGCGGAUCCAGCAUGCCGCGGUGAAUACGUUCCCGGGCCUU